rnacentral:lncRNA from 1 species
AUGAAAAUUUGGUUUGGGACACACAUACAUUUGGUUUGGGCCGCAUGGGGGGGCAGCCCUAGCCAUCCUCCGCAGCCCUGCUCCAAGCGCGCUUACCGGCAGCUGCGAUCUCAGACAGCAGAGGCUGCCAGCUUCGAUUCUGGCGGCUUUAUGGGGCCGGGAGGGGGUCCACCUAUUGAGGGGGACGGCUCAAUGCAGUCACGCAGCCCCCCUGUCCCCUCCCCUCCCACUCCUUCCUUCCUUCCCUCUCUCCCCCUCUACUGUUGUGACAUGCCCCGGCCACAUUCCGGCUGCAAGCGCCAGCAGUGUAACUUGAAACUUUGGAAUUUCUUUAAAAAUAAAAAAUUGCACUGGGCCGCAUUACAAGCUGACCUGGGCCGCAUGUGGCCCUCGGGCCGCAGGUUGGACAAGCCUGGCGUAGAUGAUUUUGGACUCAGUCUCCCAUGCCAUGUCCUUCCUCUUGACGAUCUUUCCUGCUUCCUUCAUUUUCAGAAAAUUACCUGUGUCAUGUUCUCAAACACAGAAUGGCAACCUCAGCUGAAAGACAAGGGAAGCUCGAAAGCACCAUGGACGUUAAAUAAAACCUUUAUUUCAUCUGCGGUCAAGUCAAGACUUGCAGCAGCCGUAAUGGGGCCUUCAAGAUGUGUCAUCCGCCUUGAAAAUCUGAAAGUAUUUUCCUGAAGGAAAAGAGCUGAGCCAGCAAAAAUGCCCAAGGUCUGUGUUCCAGAAGGGCUUUCCUGCCAGCUGAAUUUCAAGGAGAUGAGAGAUAACGCCUCAGUCUGGCGGUGGCAUCGGAGGGAUCCUGCUUGUGUGGCAUCCAAGCACAAACCAAAAUUGAGGCUUUAUCCUCAAACAUCCCCAGUACAAAUGCAGCUGUUCAGUUCUGAAACACAAAGAAAAAGGCAUCAGGCAAAAUCCAAAGAAGCAAAGCAAAAACCAGGUGGCACCUUAAAGACUAUUAUUUUUUAAUGUGAGCUUUCGUGGACAAGUCCACUUUGACGGACAUACGGAAACAGAAUUACUGUAAUUGUUGAAUGAAAGAUCAGUUUUUGCCAAAUAUUCAUUAGCUCUUGGGUAUAUGGUGCAUUUCCAAGUAGUAAUUUUGCUUGUGCUGUUUUAGGGCUCUGUUGUAAAAAUUCCUCAGGAGACAGAAAACAGACAUCAGGCCUGGGCAAAGAUGACAGGGGAGAGAAGAGAGAGGAGGGAUGGGGAUGGGGUUUGAAGAUUGGGGAUUCACUUACAACUCAAGAGAAGGAAAUAUUAACUAUAAAGGUGAAAGGAGAAGGCAGAGAAAUCCCGUGUGUUAAUUCAGGGAAUAUUGACAGUUUUUACCUUGGAGUCUUGUGAUGAGAGAUGGGCUUUGGUAGUUGCGAAGAAAAUAACAGUGGCAAUAGAUCACAGCAGAAGUGCUACAUUUGGUAAUGAUGAAACCUAGGCUUAUGUUCAGUCCAUUUAUAAGGAUAUCCGUCAUGCGUAUAAAUUUUAUCUCAGCCGUUUCCCUCUCUUUUCUCGAUCUGUAGUGUUUCUUUUCCAAGAUAUCCAUCAU